AUUGAACGCUGGCGGCAGGCUUAACACAUGCAAGUCGAGCGGAGAUGAGGUGCUUGCACCUUAUCUUAGCGGCGGACGGGUGAGUAAUGCUUAGGAAUCUGCCUAUUAGUGGGGGACAACAUUCCGAAAGGAAUGCUAAUACCGCAUACGUCCUACGGGAGAAAGCAGGGGAUCUUCGGACCUUGCGCUAAUAGAUGAGCCUAAGUCGGAUUAGCUAGUUGGUGGGGUAAAGGCCUACCAAGGCGACGAUCUGUAGCGGGUCUGGGAGGAUGAUCCGCCACACUGGGACUGAGACACGGCGCAGACUCCUACGGGAGGCAGCAGUGGGGAAUAUUGGACAAUGGGGGGAACCCUGAUCCAGCCAUGCCGCGUGUGUGAAGAAGGCCUUAUGGUUGUAAAGCACUUUAAGCGAGGAGGAGGCUACUGAGACUAAUACUCUUGGAUAGUGGACGUUACUCGCAGAAUAAGCACCGGCUAACUCUGUGCCAGCCGCCGCGGUAAAAC
rnacentral:rRNA from 1 species